GCCUGGCUGGCUCAGUCAGUAGAGCAUGCAACUCUUGAUCUUAAAAUUGUGAGUUUGAUCCCCAUGCUAGGUG
rnacentral:tRNA from 1 species